GCUGGGGCCAGUAGCUUAUGGCCACCCUGAGCUUCUCAUGAAGCUAAGUAGGGUUGCCCUUGGUUAGUACUUGAAUGGGAGACUGGCUAGCAAUACCAGCUUCUCCAAGCU
rnacentral:rRNA from 1 species